rnacentral:rRNA from 1 species
UACGUAGGGGGCAAGCGUUGUCCGGAUUCAUUGGGCGUAAAGAGCGUGUAGGCGGCCGUACAGGUCAGCUGUGAAAACUCGAGGCUCAACCUCGAGACGUCGGUUGAAACCGUACGGCUAGAGUCCGGAAGAGGAGAGUGGAAUUCCCGGUGCAGCGGUGAAAUGCGCAGAUAUCGGGAAGAACACCCGUGGCGAAGGCGGCUCUCUGGGACGGUACUGACGCUGAGACGCGAAAGCGUGGGGAGCGAACAGG